GCACCUAAAUCUUUCCCAUUCCUUGCUGCUUCGUGCUGGCAUGGGGACAGAUGGUGCUAUAGUACAAGCAGAGGAAAUCCAGAUGGGUUGUUUCCACUUGUCUUGGGACCUGUCUCUACAACUCUGCCACACUU
rnacentral:snoRNA from 10 species